rnacentral:rRNA from 1 species
UACGUAGGGGGCAAGCGUUGUCCGGAAUCAUUGGGCGUAAAGAGCGUGUAGGCGGCCAGAUAAGUCCGCUGUGAAAUCUCGAGGCUCAACUUCGAGCUGUCGGUGGAUACUGUCGGGCUCGAGUACGGAAGAGGCGAGUGGAAUUCCUGGUGUAGCGGUGAAAUGCGCAGAUAUCAGGAGGAACACCAAUUGCGAAGGCAGCUCGCUGGGACGUAACUGACGCUGAGACGCGAAAGCGUGGGGAGCAAACAGG